UCAGGGAUAAAGAAGAUGGAGUCGUAGCUUUCCUGCUGCCUUUGUUGAGGGCUGCCAGCUAUGUUGAAUUACUUGUUUAGUGCUAAGUGAAACUUUUGUCCUUUUAGCUUUUUGCUGUUCAGCUUUAAUGUAAUGUGGUAGGAUCAGCAAGAUUUGUUAGCCCCUCUAUGGACCAUAUCUGAUUAAAAAUUUUGCUUUGAUUUUAGUUCAGAAAUAUAAUCAAAGUUAUGCUAAUGACUAGAGUUGGUUACAAGAUAGUCUCUUGUUUAUGUUUUCAAGGUUAAGCCUAGGAUGGAUAACUAUGAAGUUUGCCUAUGUAGAUCUACUUGAAAUAGAUACAGUCCUAAAACACUUAUCUAAGGAAUAUGCCAGAAUUAGAGAUUAUGGCAUUCUGUUUUACAGGGUGCAGUUUAGAGCAGAUAACUAAAGAUGGACAAAGAGUAACUCAGAUAUGCUGGCCCUCAAGCUUGUCAGAGAUCUGUGGAAUAUGGCAUUUUAACAUGUGUAAGCUUAUUGUGACAGAGAGUCCCAAAGUCCUGGCAGUAGCUCCCAAGGUCUCUGAGAAGAUUUGGGCACAAUGAUAGAUGACUUCAACUCUGGAUUGUGGUAUGCUGACCAUUGGACAAGACUGCCUAAACUGGCCCUCCACUAGGGCCCAGCCUAAACUGUGGACACCUGGAGAGUCAUUGUUUCAUGUUGCUGAAGGCAAGAAUUUAUUUGGUGAUCAGCUAUGGACUACAAGCUGAAAUAUGGACUUGCUGGAAGCUGAUAUGAUUGUCCCCUGUCUCUUUGGAUCAACCAACCACAUGCUUCCGAGGACUGCACCAUUGCCCAGCCUUUGGCUGGCAUUUCAGCCUUCCUAGCCCCUGAUGCCAACGGUCCCAUGUCAGCACUGAAGUAGUUUCAGAAGACGAGACCUUUACCCAUAAUUCCUACAGGCUGAAAUGCUAAGUCCAAAGGGGCUCCCUGACAUUAGCUAUUAUCUUGGGGACCUGCUUAGCUGGAGCAGCAACUGGACAAAAAGCCUGGAGAGAUCCUAGAGAUAAAGGAUUCUAGAGGAUGGUUUAAAUCUUGGUAUAAUAGUUCUCCUUGGCUUACUACCCUUAUAUCUACCCUGAUGGGAUCCCAACUCUGUUUGAUUUUUACCUUUGGGGAUGGCUUUCAUGAGGGAAUGCUUGGGAGAUAUACAGUUAAGGUACUCAGAUCCCAUUGUGGAAAGGUAAAUCUGGAGGACACCAAGGGUCAUAUCUGGAAGAUCCAUGAUUGGGUCUUCAAAUGAUUAUGGGAAGGGGGGAAUGAGAGACCAAAGAAUUAAGAAUUGGUUGUUUUUUUGGGGGGUUGGGUUGGAGAAGGGUAUUGGUUUAAAGUUUAAAGCACAAGCCUGAACAAAGGCUAGACAGGUGGAGACAUGUCCAGCCACCUAGAGGAGGAACCAUCCUUACUACAUUCUUUUCCUGCCCACUACAGAUACAGUUUUUAGGGAACUGGCCUAGGUCUCCCUCUCCCCUAGGACAGCCAAACAAGGAAAGCCAGACCAUUAAUAGUUUUGGGGCUUUUCUAUAGCCAAUCAAUUAAAAAUGCAACAUCCCCUUUUGUGAUUCAACCAAUAGACACUUGCCAGGCAGGAAUUCCCCUGCUUUGGGUGCACUGUGAGGAACUUGAAUCUGUAAAUCACCACCUACCCUGACCAUGAGGUUCUCUGCUUUCAACUGCUGCAGCAGUGAGGGUGUGUACAAACUAUAGCUUGUAAUAAAAAGGUCCUCAUGUAUUUUGCAACGGA